ensembl:lncRNA
CCUGGUGAAGCGGUUCCUGGUGCUGCCACCAAGGCUACCGCUGUUUGCCUGGUGUCCCAGGGUUCCGCAUGAAGCCCACACUGCCCACCCCGACGCGGGAGGAAGCGUUCCGGGAAGAUGGUGUCUCAGUGCCCUUCCGUGCCAGCUGCCUGUCCCGCCUGUCAGCUCGGGCUCGCCCAGGUCACCUCCUGCUCCUCUGUGAGCUCAGGCCGCUACCUCUCCCCCCACCGCAAGGCUGAGCCAUCACGCCCAAUCCGCUGCCCUCUGCACCCAGCAGAAAGCCGAGGGAGGAGGCACCGCACCUGCCUCUGAUAAGUAUCGCAGAAAUGCAAAAUUCAACUUGGCUGUGGGGCAGGGUGGGGCCGACAGGACCGACUGGCUCCCCGCUGGCAGCGUUGGCAGCGGCUGUGCAUAUUUGCAAUGCUUCCUCCAGCCUGCGACAACCGACUGCAAACAGCACAGCGCUGGGUCGCUGGCUGCGGGGAGCUGGUUUGUGCAGAGAAGCAGGGAGCACUGUUUGCAGCAAUGUUGUGAGCGCUGAACCGAGGUGGGGAACCUUCCAGAGCAGCCCAAGCUCUGGCAGGAAGUUCCACGAGCCGCGGAAGGCCACUGAUGAAAAGGGGCGUCUGAGUCACACACGGGCGGGGGGCGGGGUGCUCCCUACUCCGAGGUCUAAGUUCCAGCCCCCACAUGCCCGCUAUCGUUAGUAGCCGUGGUGUCUGCGAGGUGGGAGCUUCUGUCCCUCCAGUCCAGUCGACGCAGGGAAGGAAAUUAGGUCAUGGAGAUUUGGCCUUGAAAAGUGCAAUUUAAGUUUAUGGAGAUAAGAAUGAGCGUUAUAACGUUGCAGUUAAUAAAAAGCUCUUCCUGGGAGCAAAGAGAGCUGGAGCUGGAGAACCGAUCCCCAGCGAUAGGUUAGCAUAUAAUGGUAGGGGAUGAGGGAAGAGCUUAACUGCUCCGGGUACAGAAAUCCAGAAAGCAAACUGGAAUCUGCAGGGAGAGUCGAGGAUAGUUUCAAGUGUGACCAUUAUGCCUCCCCAGCUCUGCCAAGCCAUCCAUCCAUCCACUCAUCCAUCCGCUCAUUCCCCGUGUCACAUGUCUGAUCUUGACCACUGGUCCACAGGGCCCUGGCGGAAGGAGAGGACACAGAGGUAGAAAGACACCCACGGACAAACAGCACGGUCCAGCCCGAGGGGUCACUGCCAGAGCCGAUCUAGGGAUUCCCUUCACUGUGGACUCUGAGGGUAGGGCUGGCUCAGGCUCCUCGAGCUGCUUCAGGGAAACACAGACUCAGCAACUGGUGAGGGCUGCACCCUGAGGAGGGGCAGAUCGAGCUUGAAACCGGCACCGAAGGCCUGCAUGCUGUGGACACAGUGCUGUCACAGAUCCGGGUGAGCCCAGGGCUAUAGCCUGGCUCUGAGCAGCCUUGCUGCCCACUGCUUUGUCCCAGUGUGCAGGGUUUGCUUUGGAGGCCCAAGACAGGACCAGGAAAACAGGACGAGGCAACAGGGGUGCUCUCAGCACAGCCAGCGCAGUCUCCAGGGGUGCGGAGAGGGCUCCUCUCCUCCGUCCACCUGGCUGAUGACCAGUGGGUGGCAUCCAGGGUGCCGAGCAAGGGAGGAAGUGUGUGAUCUCAUGACUGGGAGGCUUCAGCGAGGUGCCUGCCCGGAAGCGAUGCUGCUGAGUGGGCUGGACACAGAGGGGAACCAGGGCUGGUUCUGCAGAGCUCAGACCCAGGGUCCACGGGCAACCAAGAGUAAAGGCUGGGAGCUGAGGAGAGACUCCAGCCGGCGCCAGGGAGAGGGGUGACAGGAGAGCCCACUCGGAGGAGGUGGGGGCCACGGCUCCUAGGUGGGAGGAAGGGAGAGGGUAGAGACCCUCAAAGGCUUCCUUCCCGUGGAGGUGGUCAGGGGCACCCACUCCUGGGUAGAGGUCAGGAGCAAGAAGGAAGGAAAGAAGAGAAGGAGGAAAGGCAGAGAGAAGGACAGAAGGGCCACAGUGUGCAACCACUCAGGAGAGGCCUCUGUCGCCCACCUGCAG